rnacentral:snRNA from 1 species
GUGCUCCCUUUGGCAGCACAUAUACUAAAAUUGGAACAAUACAGAGAAGAUUAGCAUAGCCCCUGCAUAAGGAUGACUUGCAAAUUCAUGAAGCAUUCCAUAAAAAA